CACGUAGGGCGCAAGCGUUGUCCGGAAUUAUUGGGCGUAAAGAGCUCGUAGGCGGUCUGUUACGUCUGCUGUGAAAACCCUGGGCUUAACCCUGGGCUUGCAGUGGAUACGGGCGGGCUGGAGUUCGGUAGGGGAGACGUGGAAUUCCUGGUGUAGCGGUGAAAUGCGCAGAUAUCAGGAGGAACACCGGUGGCGAAGGCGGUUCUCUGGGCCUUACCUGACACUGAGGAGCGAAAGCGUGGGGAGCGAACAGG
rnacentral:rRNA from 1 species